rnacentral:lncRNA from 1 species
GUGAAUGUUGGGACAUCUGUAUCAUUUGUUCUCCUUGUUGAGUACACGCCUGCUGGCUUUGUUGGCCAUGAGCAUCAUUUUGUUGCACUGUACUAGCUCCUGGUAUAGGAGCCAACUUAGGUGUAGCAGCCUCCGGAGGUUGACCAGGGGGCAGUGGAGGAGGUAAAGCUGAUGGCUUUUCAUAUUGAGUAACAUUAGUUUCUGGAUUCCAGUAGUACAAUAACCCAGUACUGCCAUCAAUUAAGCCCUUCCAAGGUUGCGGUAAAGUUGGAUCAUCGGGUGCAUAACGAGGUCCUAAGGAUUCCGGAGGUUGACCAGGUGGCAGUGGAGGGGGUAAAGCUGAUGGCUUCUCAUAUUGCGUAACAUUAGUUUCUGGAUUCCAGUAGUACAAUAACCCAGUACUUCCAUCAAUUAAGCCCUUCCAAGGUUGCGGUAAAGUUGGAUCAUCGGGUGCAUAACGAGGUCCUAAGGAAGCUGCCUCAGCAGUUGCCAUACUUAAGCUACCUAACACAAUCCAUGAUAAAACGUCAUAUAUGACUUCACCAGAUACAAUAACAAGCAAAAGGUACUGUAGUACACACUAAACGUGAAUAUAUGCGCUAACAGGAAUACGACUGCCAAGUAAAUCAGCUAAUAUUAAACAGAUAUUCCCAAUGAGAACAAUCCAAAUGCCAGAUUAUUAUUUCACAAGCAUAAAAAGCUCUAACGAUAGCUUUAUUUCUGUUGAGUUGAC